rnacentral:rRNA from 1 species
AUGAACGCUGGCGGCGUGCCUAAUACAUGCCAGUCGAGCGAACAGACGAGGAGCUUGCUCCUCUGACGUUAGCGGCGGACGGGUGAGUAACACGUGGAUAACCUACCUAUAAGACUGGGAUAACUUCGGGAAACCGGAGCUAAUACCGGAUAAUAUAUUGAACCGCAUGGUUCAAUAGUGAAAGACGGUUUUGCUGUCACUUAUAGAUGGAUCCGCGCCGCAUUAGCUAGUUGGUAAGGUAACGGCUUACCAAGGCAACGAUGCGUAGCCGACCUGAGAGGGUGAUCGGCCACACUGGCACUGAGACACGGUCCAGACACCUACGGGAGGCAGCAGUAGGGAAUCUUCCGCAAUGGGCGAAAGCCUGACGGAGCAACGCCGCGGGAGGGAUGAAGGUCUUCGGAUCGUAAAACUCUGUUAGUAGGGAAGAACAAAUGUGUAAGUAACUAUGCACGUCUUGACGGUACCUAAUCAGAAAGCCACGGCUAACUACGUG